rnacentral:lncRNA from 1 species
UUAUCUGAUGGGUUUAUCUGUGGUGAGUACAAAGUUUGGUAAAAGUCUCUGAAAGUGUUGUUUAUUCUUUCAGGGUCAUAAACUAUAUUCCCGGUUGAGUCUUUAACAGCAGAUAUGGUAGUUUUCUCUUUAUUUAUUUUUAACUGGCUAGCUAAAAAUUUACCUGUUUUAUUACUAUGUUCAAAGUUUUCUAUUCGUAGUCUUUGUGCUAAAAAUUGUGUCUUUUUGUCAAUAAUUCCAUGAAGUUCUAAUUUAGCUUUACGUAAUUUGCUCAUUGACUCUUCUUCUGUGGAUGCCUCUAAAGACUUGAUGAUCUCCUCUAACUCCUGAAUACGUUUGUUUUCUGUUUUUUUCUUAUGUGAUGAGAAACCCGCGUUAAAGGAACAGAUUUUCUCCUCCGAUCGGCUUCAGACAGCUAAAAUGUUCUCGUCAUCGCUUCUACAAAAAUUCAUGGUAGGCACAUAAAAAUUCAGGUGUGAAUGUUGUGGCAGGAAGUUGGAUAAAAGAACACAAGCUUUAAGUAAAAGCAUGGAGGUCAAACUAAUUAACAGUUUAUUAGGGUUUAGCUGUACAUUUCUAAUAUCUAUUAAUGCUAUGGAAAACAUACGGAGACUUUGGGUUGUGGGAACUUAUCACGCAUGUUUAGUUCUUAGAGAAGUGUUUCAGAAACAAACACCAUUGGAAACAUAUGUGACCUUUAGUCUGGAUAUUCUCCACAGAUGUGUCUUAAUGAUGAAAACAGACUCUGGUUGUAGUCUUUAUUGUGGUGGAGGAUGUGGAGCCGUCGCCAGCAGCUCCUUCAGCAGGAACAGAACUUUUUACACGGAGGAAAAACAUUUUAAACAUCAGGGAAGAUCGUCAGCAUCCUAAACUCAGACACAAACAUGGAAAAUAAACUCACUACAGCUUUUGUUUGCUUUCAGAAUCAAGCCUCUGCAGCAUUUUAAUGUAAAAACGUGGUUAGCAUCAUUAGCUGUUAGCUGCGAUUUCAGCGAAGUAACUAAAAGCUGCUUGUGGAUUCUUUAAGGUAGAAACUAAAUCAGAACUUGAGCUGAAGUCUGGCAGCAGGAGCAGCAGGAGGAGCGGCGUCAGGAACCCAGACGGGUCCUAAUCAGAACACAAAUGGCACUAAAGUUUGUUCCCGACUGAACAGAUUCAAACACUCAGCUACUGACUUGUUGGAGACGAAUCAGAAACAACAGAUAAAUAAACAGGUCAGUGAAGGCAACAUCGACGUCCAUUUUAAGGGAAACUUUUUCUGUUUGUUUUUAAUUGUUUUAUUAGUGUUUAACAUAAUUAAUAGUAGCAGAAAGAGGU